rnacentral:lncRNA from 10 species
AGAUUGCACCAUUGCACUCCAGCCUGAGCAACAAACACGAAACUCCAUCACAAAAUAAAAUAAAAUAAAAAUAAAAAGUCAAACACAUAGGCUAAAAAAUCCUGUCUUCUCCUUCUAACUAGAUAUCAACUAACAAACAAUACUAAUGAAUAUUUUCAUUCUUGUAUUUAGGGGCUUAGGUAAUAAUGCUAUGAAGUCUAGUCUAUAAGUCUCCCACCAUACCACUCCUGACAAAAAGAUGAGACUAAAUAACUGUGUCAGGCAUUGUGUUAACCUAGGAAAUACCACAGGAAUAUUUUGGUACUCUAUCUAACAGGUUCAUACUCUAAUGGAGGAGAUAAAGUUAAUAGACAAUGAUAAUUCAGUGUGAUGAUGGAUGCUACAAGGACAGGGUGCCUGAGAAAUAUACAGGGGGGAUUAAUAUGGUUUGGCUGUGUUCCUACCCAAACCUCAUCUUGAAUUGUAGUUCCCACAAUUCCCAUGUGUUAUGAGAGAGAGCCGGUGGGAGAUAAUUGAACCAUUGGGACAGUUUCCCCCAUACUGUUCUCAUGGUAGUAAGUCUCAGAAGACCUGAUGGUUUUUUAUACAGGGAAACCCCUUUUGUUUGGUUCUCUCAUUCUCUCUUGACACCGCCAUGUAAGAAGUGCCUUUCGCCUUCCACCAUGAUUGUGAGGCCUCCCCAGCCAUAUGGAACUGUGAGUCCAUCAAACCUCUUUUUCUUUAUAAAUUACCCAGUCUCAGGUAUGUCUUUAUCAACAGUGUGAAAAUGGACUAAUACAGGGACAUUUAACACAGCCUGAAGAGAAAGGAUUUCAGGGUGUUCAGAACAAUUCCCCAAAGGAAGUGAUGUCCAAGAGAGACUAGGAAAUAAGUAACCACUUUGCAUCCACUAGGAUGGCUAUAUUUUAAAAGACUGACAAUAAUCAGUAAUGGGAAGGAUAUAGAGGAAUUGGAAACCUCGUACAUUGCUGGUGAGAAGGUAAAAGGGCACAGCCACUUUGGAAGACAGUUUGGCAGUUCCUCAGAAUGUUAGGCAUAGAAUUACCCUAUGACCCAGAAAUGUCACUCCUAAAUAUAUAACCAAGAGGACCGAAAACAUACAUCCACACAAAAACUUGGACAUGAAUGUUCAUAGCAGCAUUAUUCUAAACAGUCAAAAAGUAGAAACAAUUCAAAUGUCUCUCAACUGAUGAAUCAAUGAACAAAAUAUGCUGCAUUCCAAAAUGGAGUAUUAUUCAGUCAUAAAAGAGAAUGAAAUGGCAAUUCAUGCUACCACAUGUAUGAACAUGGACAAACCUUGAAAAUUUAUACUAAGUGAAAAAAGUCAGAUACAAAAGGUUACAAAUUGUAUGAUUCCAUUUACAUAAAAUGCCCAAAACAGGCAAAUCCUUAGAUACAGAAAGUAGAUUAGUGGUUUCCAGGGACUAAGAAGAAGAGGAAAAUGGGGAGCACCUACUAAUGGGUAUGGGGUUUCUCACUGAGGUGAUGACAAAAUUCUGAAAUUAGAUCAUGGAAUUUUAGAUCAUGAAGAGUCAUGCAAUUUUGUGAAUAUACUAAAAACCACUGAAUUCUACAUGUGAAAAUGAUACAUUGUGUGGCAUAUGAAUAAUCUUAAUUAAAAAAGAGAAAAAAUAAUAGUGAAUAUGUGAAAAUAUUGAACAAAGGCAUCAAAAGGAAGAAAAAGAAGGGGGAAGUGACAAAAAUGAUAGCUGAUAAGGAGAAAGGAGAAACUGAGGUGGGCUCCAGCACAAGAAGGAAGACACAGGUUCCAGAGCAGGAAGAGGAGGUAGGUCUCAGAGCAGGAAGCGGGAGGAAGAUCCCAGAUCAGGAAGGAGGAGGCAGGUUCCAGUGCAGGAAGGAGGAGGAGGAGGCAGUUUCCAGAGCAGGAAGGAGGAGGCAGAUCCCAGUGCAAGAUGAAGGAGAAGGCAGUUUCCAGAGCAGGAAAGAGCAGGCAGACCCCAGUGCAGGAAGGAGGAGAAGGCAGAUUCCAGAGCAGGGAGGAGGAGGUGGGUUC